AUUGAACGCUGGGGGCAGGCCUAACACAUGCAAGUCGAGGGGAAACGAGUUAUCUGAACCUUCGGGGAACGAUAACGGGGUCGAGGGGGGGACGGGUGAGUAAUGCCUAGGAAAUUGCCCUGAUGUGGGGGAUAACCAUUGGAAACGAUGGCUAAUACCGCAUGAUGCCUACGGGCCAAAGAGGGGGACCUUCGGGCCUCUCGGGUCAGGAUAUGCCUAGGUGGGAUUAGCUAGUUGGUGAGGUAAGGGCUCACCAAGGGGACGAUCCCUAGCUGGUCUGAGAGGAUGAUCAGCCACACUGGAACUGAGACACGGUCCAGACUCCUACGGGAGGCAGCAGUGGGGAAUAUUGCACAAUGGGGGCAAGCCUGAUGCAGCCAUGCCGGGUGUGUGAAGAAGGCCUUCGGGUUGUAAAGCACUUUCAGUCGUGAGGAAGGUAGUGUUGUUAAUAGCCGCAUUACUUGACGUUAGGGACAGAAGAAGCACCGGCUAACUCCGUGCCAGCAGCCGGGGUAAUACGGAGGGUGGGAGGGUUAAUCGGAAUUACUGGGGGUAAAGGGCAUGCAGGUGGUUUGUUAAGUCAGAUGUGAAAGCCCGGGGCUCAACCUCGGAAUAGCAUUUGAAACUGGCAGACUAGAGUACUGUAGAGGGGGGUAGAAUUUCAGGUGUAGGGGUGAAAUGGGUAGAGAUCUGAAGGAAUACCGGUGGGGAAGGGGGCCCCCUGGACAGAUACUGACACUCAGAUGGGAAAGGGUGGGGAGCAAACAGGAUUAGAUACCCUGGUAGUCCACGCCGUAAACGAUGUCUACUUGGAGGUUGUGGCCUUGAGCCGUGGCUUUCGGAGCUAACGGGUUAAGUAGACCGCCUGGGGAGUACGGUCGCAAGAUUAAAACUCAAAUGAAUUGACGGGGGCCCGCACAAGGGGUGGAGCAUGUGGUUUAAUUCGAUGCAACGGGAAGAACCUUACCUACUCUUGACAUCCAGAGAACUUUCCAGAGAUGGAUUGGUGCCUUCGGGAACUCUGAGACAGGUGCUGCAUGGCUGUCGUCAGCUCGUGUUGUGAAAUGUUGGGUUAAGUCCCGCAACGAGGGCAACCCUUAUCCUUGUUUGCCAGGGAGUAAUGUCGGGAACUCCAGGGAGACUGCCGGUGAUAAACCGGAGGAAGGUGGGGACGACGUCAAGUCAUCAUGGCCCUUACGAGUAGGGCUACACACGUGCUACAAUGGGGCAUACAGAGGGGGGCCAACUUGGGAAAGUGAGCGAAUCCCAAAAAGUGGGUCGUAGUCCGGAUUGGAGUCUGCAACUCGACUCCAUGAAGUCGGAAUCGCUAGUAAUCGUGGAUCAGAAUGCCACGGUGAAUACGUUCCCGGGCCUUGUACACACCGCCCGUCACACCAUGGGAGUGGGCUGCAAAAGAAGUAGGUAGUUUAACCUUCGGGGGGACGCUUACCACUUUGUGGUUCAUGACUGGGGUGAAAAA
rnacentral:rRNA from 1 species